rnacentral:rRNA from 1 species
GACGAACGCUGGCGACGUGCUUAACACAUGCAAGUCGAACGGAAAGGCCCUGCUUUUGUGGGGUGCUCGAGUGGCGAACGGGUGAGUAACACGUGAGUAACCUGCCCUUGACUUUGGGAUAACUUCAGGAAGCUGGGGCUAAUACCGGAUAGGAGCUCCUGCUGCAUGGUGGGGGUUGGAAAGUUUCGGCGGUGGGGGAUGGACUCGCGGCUUAUCAGCUUGUUGGUGGGGUAGUGGCUUACCAAGGCUUUGACGGGUAGCCGGCCUGAGAGGGUGACCGGCCACAUUGGGACUGAGAUACGGCCCAGACUCCUACGGGAGGCAGCAGUGGGGAAUAUUGCACAAUGGGCGGAAGCCUGAUGCAGCAACGCCGCGUGCGGGAUGACGGCCUUCGGGUUGUAAACCGCUUUCGCCUGUGACGAAGCGUGAGUGACGGUAAUGGGUAAAGAAGCACCGGCUAACUACGUG